rnacentral:rRNA from 1 species
UAUCGAGGGUGAGUCGUAACAAGGUAGCCGUAGGAUCCCGAGGGUUUGCUCAAGAGGGACCCGAGGGGCCCCGGGGUGAGUAACACCUGGGUUCCUGCCCAUAAGAAGGGGAUAACCCUUGGCAACAGGUGCUUAUACCGUAUAACCGUAUGUUCCGCAUGUGAAAAGGUUGAUCGGCUGUUUUGCGUCGAUGGUGGAUGGACCCGCUGUGCAUUAGCUAGUGGGGAGGUACGGCUCACCAAGCCACAAUGCUAGCGACCUGAAGGGUGAUCGCCACCCUGGGACUGACACACAGCCCAAACUCCUACGGGAGGCAGCAAUAGGGAAUCUUGGCAAUGGACGAAAGUCUGACCGACCAACGCCGCAUGAAUGAAGAAGGUUUUCGGAUCUAAAACUCUGUUGAUAAAGAAGAACAAGGAGAAAGUAAACGUUCAUCCCUUGACGGUACUAACCAGAAAGCCACGGCUAACUACCUGCCAGCAGCCGCGGUAAUACGUAAGUGGCAAGCGUUGUCCGGAUUUAUUGGGCGUAAAGCGAGCGCAGGCGGAUUCUUAAGUCUGAUGUGAAAGCCCCCGGCUCAACCGGGGAGGGUCAUUGGAAACUGGGAGACUUGAAUACAAAGAGGAGAGUGGAAUUCCAUGUGUAACGGUGAAAAGCUAGAGAUAUGGACGAACACCAGUGCCGAAGGCGGCUCUCUGAUCUGUAACUGACGCUGAAGCUCGAAGCGUGAAGAGCGAACAAGAUUAGUACCCUGAUAGUCCACACCAUAAACGAUGAGUGCUAAAUGUGGACGGUUUCCGCCCUCAAUGCUGCACCAAACGCACUAAGCACUCCGCCUGCGGACUACAACCGCAAAGUUGAAACUCAAAGAAUUGACCGGGGCCCGCACAAGCGAUGGAGCAUGUGUUUAAUACGAAGCAACGCCAAAAACCUACCAAGUCUUGACAUACAUUGAACACUCUAGAGAUACACCUUCCCCAUCCGAGGCAAGUGACAGCUGAGCAUCGGCGCCAGCUCGAGCGGAGAUUUAGGCAAGCCCGCAACGACCCAACCCUAUUGUAGUUGCCAUCAUUUAGGGGAACUCUAGGGAGACUGCCGGGACAAACCGGAGGAAGGGAGGGAAACGUCAAAGCACAUGCCCCUAGGACCUAGGCAAACACCGCACAACCAGAAGACAAAGAGUUGCGAAGUCGCGAGGUUAAGCUAAUCUCUUAAAGCUUCUCUCAGUUCGGAUUGUAGGCUGCAACUCGCCUACAUGAAGCCGGAAUCGCUAGUAAUCGCGGAUCAGCACGCCGCGGUGAAUACGUUCCCGGGCCUUGUACACACCGCCCUCCACCCCGAGAGUUUGUAACACCGAAAAUCGAUCCAGAGUUUGAUCCUGGUCAGAACGAACGCUGA